rnacentral:misc_RNA from 1 species
GAUGAAGAACGCAGCGAAAUGCGAUACGUAAUGUGAAUUGCAGAAUUCAGUGAAUCAUCGAGUCUUUGAACGCACAUUGCGCCCUCUGGUAUUCCGGAGGGCAUGCCUGUCCGAGCGUCAUUGCUGCCCCCAAGCACGGCUUGUGUGUUGGGCUCCGUCCCCCGAUCCCGGGGGACGGGCCCGAAAGGCAGCGGCGGCACCGCGUCCGGUCCUCGAGCGUAUGGGGCUUUGUCACCCGCUCUGUAGGCCCGGCCGGCGCUUGCCGAUCAACCAAAUUUUUAUCCAGGUUGACCUCGGAUCAGGUAGGGAUACCCGCUGAACUUAAGCAUAUCAAUAAGCGGAGGA